UACGUAGGGUGCAAGCGUUGUCCGGAAUUAUUGGGCGUAAAGAGCUCGUAGGCGGUCUGUCGCGUCUGCUGUGAAAAUCCAGGGCUCAACCUCGAACUUGCGGUGGGUACGGGCAGACUAGAGUGUGGUAGGGGAGACUGGAAUUCCUGGUGUAGCGGUGAAAUGCGCAGAUAUCAGGAGGAACACCGAUGGCGAAGGCAGGUCUCUGGGCCACUACUGACGCUGAGAAGCGAAAGCAUGGGGAGCGAACGGG
rnacentral:rRNA from 1 species